AUUCAUCAAGGUCAAAGGAUUAUGGGUGGA
rnacentral:piRNA from 1 species